UUCUCUCUUCCUUCUCUCCCUCUCUCUCUCUCUAAGGAAGGGGGAGGGAGAGAGGGAGAGAAGAAAGAGGGAG